GACGAACGCUGGCGGCGUGCUUAACACAUGCAAGUCGAACGGAAAGGCCCUGCUUUUGUGGGGUGCUCGAGUGGCGAACGGGUGAGUAACACGUGAGUAACCUGCCCUUGACUUUGGGAUAACUUCAGGAAACUGGGGCUAAUACCGGAUAGGAGCUCCUGCUGCAUGGUGGGGGUUGGAAAGUUUCGGCGGUUGGGGAUGGACUCGCGGCUUAUCAGCUUGUCGGUGGGGUAGUGGCUUACCAAGGCUUUGACGGGUAGCCGGCCUGAGAGGGUGACCGGCCACAUUGGGACUGAGAUACGGCCCAGACUCCUACGGGAGGCAGUAGUGGGGAAUAUUGCACAAUGGGCGGAAGCCUGAUGCAGCAACGCCGCGUGCGGGAUGACGGCCUUCGGGUUGUAAACCGCUUUCGCCUGUGACGAAGCGUGAGUGACGGUAAUGGGUAAAGAAGCACCGGCUAACUACGUG
rnacentral:rRNA from 1 species